AGGUAGUGGUGGUGGUGGUUAUACCUCCGGCCACCGUUUUUAGUGGAGAAAACAUUGUAUUUCAACGUCUAUUAAGGUUGUGAGGUCAAUUUGCAAGGAUCUGACUUAUUUGGUAUUGAUCGGUUUCUAGUUAGCUCGAGGAUUUUAUCGGAAGUGACUUUAUCAGAAGACAAGUACAUAAUUUUUGGUAUAAGGUAUGCUUUCUUUAACCUACUUUUAUAAGAAUAUUUUUCAUAUAUAUUUAGAUAAUCUUUAAAUGCUUAAAGUAAUUUUAGAAUAAUAUUGAUGUAAUACAUAGGAUAUAUAUUGUUGAGUGCUAAGGAUAGAUAUAGUAAGCUAUAAAAAAAAUACAAAAAAGGUCUAUAUUGGGAUUUGAACUUGUGACCAAAA